rnacentral:rRNA from 1 species
UACGGGGGGGGCAAGCGUUAGGCGGAAUCACUGGGCUUAAAGCGUGUGUAGGCGGAUUCCUAAGUACCUUGUGAAAUCCCACGGCUCAACCGUGGAACUGCUCGGUAUACUGGGUAUCUUGAGCCACUUAGGGGCGACCGGAACAAAUGGUGGAGCGGUGAAAUGCGCAGAUAUCAUUUGGAACGCCAAUGGUGAAAACAGGUCGCUGGGAGUGUGCUGACGCUGAGACACGAAAGCCAGGGGAGCAAACGGG